rnacentral:rRNA from 1 species
GACGAACGCUGGCGGCGUGCUUAACACAUGCAAGUCGAGCGGAGAGGCCACUUCGGCGGUACUCGAGCGGCGAACGGGUGAGUAACACGUGAGUAAUCUGCCCUUGGCUUUGGGAUAGCCACCGGAAACGGUGAUUAAUACCGGAUAUGACCACUUCUCGCAUGGGAUGGUGGUGGAAAGUUUUUCGGCCAGGGAUGUGCUCGCGGCCUAUCAGCUUGAUGGUGAGGUAACGGCUCACCAUGGCUUCGACGGGUAGCCGGCCUGAGAGGGUGACCGGUCACACUGGGACUGAGACACGGCCCAGACUCCUACGGGAGGCAGCAGUGGGGAAUAUUGGACAAUGGGCGGAAGCCUGAUCCAGCAACGCCGCGUGAGGGAUGACGGCCUUCGGGUUGUAAACCUCUUUCGCCUAUGACGAAGCGAUCCUUUUGGGUGAGUGACGGUAGUAGGUAAAGAAGCACCGGCCAACUACGUGCCAGCCGCCGCGGUAAAAC